AUCAGAGCGAACGCUUUCCCGGCUACAUGCAGUCAGCGGGCAGUAGCUAUACUCAGCGGCAGAUGCCCAGUAACGCGUGGGAACGUACCUUUUGGUUCGGAACAACUGAGGGAAACUUCAGCUAAUACCGGAUAAGCCCUUACCGGGGAAAGAUUUAUCGCCGAAAGAUUCGGCCCGCGUCUGAUUAAGCUAGUUGGUGAGGUAAUGGCUCACCAAGGCGACGAUCAGUAGCUGGUCUGAGAGGAUGAUCAGCCACAUUGGGACUGAGACACGGCCCAAACUCCUACGGGAGGCAGCAGUGGGGAAUAUUGGACAAUGGGCGAAAGCCUGAUCCAGCCAUGCCGCGUGAGUGAUGAAGGCCCUAGGGUUGUAAAGCUCUUUUGUGCGGGAAGAUAAUGACGGUACCGCAAGAAUAAGCCCCGGCUAACUUCGUGCCAGCAGCCGCGGUAAUACGAAGGGGGCUAGCGUUUGCUCGGAAUCACUGGGCGUAAAGGGUGCGUAGGCGGGUCUUUAAGUCAGAGGUGAAAUCCUGGAGCUCAACUCCAGAACUGCCUUUGAUACUGAGGAUCUUGAGUUCGGGAGAGGUGAAGUGGAACUGCGAGUGUAGAGGUGUAAAUUCGUAGAUAUUCCGCAAGAACACCAGUUGGCGAAGGCGGCUCACUGGCCCCGAUACUGACGCUUGAGGCACGAAAGCGGUGGGGGAGCAAACAGGAUUAGAUACCCUGGUAGUCCACGCCGUAAACGAUGAAUGCCAGCCGUUGGGGAGUUUACUCUUCAGUGGCGCAGCUAACGCUUUAAGCAUUCCGCCUGGGGAGUACGUCAACAAUGAUUAAAAC
rnacentral:rRNA from 1 species